GUUUAGAGUUAAAAAAAACAAAUCCUAAAAUGAGAUCAUCAUGACGAAAGCGUAUUCAUUAACAUGAAAAACUAUUUUUCCGAAGUUAAAUUUUAAAACGUGACCAUUUAAAAUUCACCUGCAAAAUUUGCAUGGCUGUUUGAAAAUAAAAAACUUGGAUGUGACAUAGACAAACUAUACACCUGUGACAUCAUGGCUUAAACUUCAGUAUCAGAAAUCAGUACUGCUAACUAACCAGUUUCACUCAUCCCUUACCUUUGCAUAAAAAGUUCAGUAUGAACGUCAGUGUGACAACACUUUCUACAUUUAGCAUGCCGGAGGGGAAAAAACUGAGGGGUGGAAGCGGAUAUGUUUAUACAUCUUCCAUGUUAACACACCUCCACCUUGUGAGGGUGUUGGUUUAAUUUAAAAUAUAAGGCAAGGCUCAACUCUGACAGUCAAACUCUUUCAAGAGAACCGACAUAAACGGAUCAUUCACCGUAAGAAUCACGAUUAAAAAGGAAAACCUAAACAUGUUUUCCAAACAGAAGCUACUUCUCAUGGUAGUUGUAAUGAUUACAGGUAUUGACCUUAUCACUGUCAUCAACUCAUUCAAUGCAACAGCCAACGCAAAUUCAACAUUCAACGCAAGCACCAAUGUGACAUCCAACUCGACAGCGACAUCCAACUCGACAGCGACAUUCAACUCGACAGCGACAUUCAACUCGACAGCGACAUUCAACUCGACAGCGACAUUCAACUCGACAGCGACAUUCAACUCGACAGCGACAUCCAACUCGAAUGCGGCAUCCAACUCGAAUGCGGCAUCCAACUCGAAUGGGACAUCCAACUCGAAUGCGGCAUCCAACUCGAAUGCGGCAUCCAACUCGAAUGCGGCAUCCAACUCGAAUGGGACAUCCAACUCGAAUGCGGCAUCCAACUCGAAUGCGGCAUCCAACUCGAAUGCGGCAUCCAACUCGAAUGGGACAUCCAACUCGAAUGCGGCAUCCAACUCGAAUGCGGCAUCCAACACGUCUGCGACAUCCAACACGUCUGCGACAUCCAACUCGAAUGGGACAUCAAGCUCAAACCAGUUGAAUUCAUCCGCAAACUCGAUUCUGAUCUACAUCAUGGCCUCUAUUGUGGUCCUUUUAACAAUAAACUCAGGAUCUUAAACUCAUCUUUAAACCCCCCAACAACCUUUUACACUAUUUGUUAACACUUUCAGUAGUUUUAAUACUGUUCCUACAUUUUUUAAACAUUAGUGAUUUACUGUCAUUACUUUUAUCUAAAAUUUCAAAUGAAAUAAGACUCUUCUAUAGAGUGUUUCACAGAAAAUGCAAUAAAUCUAUUUUAAAUGUUA